UGCUCCCCACGCUUUCGAGCCUCAACGUCAGUUACAGUCCAGUAAGCCGCCUUCGCCACCGGUGUUCCUCCUAAUAUCUACGCAUUUCACCGCUACACUAGGAAUUCCACUUUACUCUCCUGCACUCUAGACUAACAGUUUCCAAUGCAGCUUCGGGGGUUGAGGCCCGACAUUUCACAUCAAACUUGGGAGUCGGUCUGGCUCCCUUUAAACCCAGUAAAUCGGGAUAAGCCUGCCCCCUAAUAUUACCGGGGUUGUUGGCAGUUAUUUACCCGGGCUUCUUAUCACGUGACCGGCAUUUCCUCCCUGCGAAAAAACUUUAAUAACCGAUUAUUUUUCAAUUAACCGGGGUUUUUUAUAAGGGUUUCCCCCCAUUUGGAAAAUUCCCCACGGUUGCCUCCCCUAGGAAUUUGGGGCCCGGUUUCAACUCCAAAGUGUGGCGUUACCCCCUUAGGGGGGGGAUUGAUUUUUCCCCUCGGGGAAACCCGGGGCCUACAA
rnacentral:rRNA from 1 species